CCUACGGGAGGCAGCAGUGAGGAAUUUUCUGCAAUGGGCGAAAGCCUGACAGAGCAAUACCGCGUGAGGGAUGAAGACUUACUGAGUUGUAAACCUCGGUGCCUUAAGGAAGAAGAUCUGACGGUACUUAAGGUGGAAAGCAUCGGCUAACUCCGUGCCAGCAGCCGCGGUAAGACGGGGGAUGCAAGUGUUAUCCGGAAUUACUGGGCGUAAAGCGUCUGCAGGUGGUUUUAUAAGUCUGCUGUUAAAUCUUGAGGCUCAACCUCAAAUCUGCAGUGGAAACUAUAAGACUUGAGUAUAGUAGGGGUAGAGGGAAUUUCCAGUGGAGCGGUGAAAUGCGUAGAUAUUGGAAAGAACACCGAUGGCGAAGGCACUCUACUGGGCUAUUACUGACACUCAGAGACGAAAGCUAGGGGAGCAAAUGGGAUUAGAUACCCCAGUAGUCCUAGCCGUAAACGAUGGAUACUCGAUGUUGGACGUAUCGACCCGUUCAGUAUCUUAGCUAACGCGUUAAGUAUCCCGCCUGGGGAGUCGCUCGCAGAGUGAACUUAAAUGAAUUGACGGCUGAGACGNGCGAGACGACGACGAGGAGAG
rnacentral:rRNA from 1 species